rnacentral:rRNA from 1 species
GACGAACGCUGGCGGCGUGCCUAAUACAUGCAAGUAGAACGCUGAAGGAGGAGCUUGCUUCUCUGGAUGAGUUGCGAACGGGUGAGUAACGCGUAGGUAACCUGCCUGGUAGCGGGGGAUAACUAUUGGAAACGAUAGCUAAUACCGCAUAAGAGUAGAUGUCGCAUGACAUUUGCUUAAAAGGUGCAAUUGCAUCACUACCAGAUGGACCUGCGUUGUAUUAGCUAGUUGGUGAGGUAACGGCUCACCAAGGCAACGAUACAUAGCCGACCUGAGAGGGUGAUCGGCCACACUGGGACUGAGACACGGCCCAGACUCCUACGGGAGGCAGCAGUAGGGAAUCUUCGGCAAUGGACGGAAGUCUGACCGAGCAACGCCGCGUGAGUGAAGAAGGUUUUCGGAUCGUAAAGCUCUGUUGUAAGAGAAGAACGAGUGUGAGAGUGGAAAGUUCACACUGUGACGGUAUCUUACCAGAAGGGGACGGCUAACUACG